rnacentral:tRNA from 1 species
GCCCGAGUAGUUUAAUAGGUAAAACUUUAAUUUCAUGCAUUAAUAAUGGGAAUUCAAUUUUCCCCUCAGGCU